UCAGGCCACACUACCUUGACUGUGUUCAGUUUGAUCUGGUCUUGGAAGCUAAGCAGGGUCUGUCGUGGUUCGUACUUGGAUGGGGGAACUGAGGUCCCAGGGCAAACUGCA
rnacentral:rRNA from 1 species